rnacentral:rRNA from 1 species
AGAUUGAACGCUGGCGGCAUGCCUAACACAUGCAAGUCGAACGGGAGUAGCAAUACUCUAGUGGCGGACGGGUGAGGAAUACGUAGGAAUUUGCCCUUAAGUGGGGGAUAACCCGGGGAAACCCGGAUUAAUACCGCAUGACCUCGAAAGAGCAAAGUGGGGGAUCGCAAGACCUCACGCUUUUGGAGAAGCCUACGUCGGAUUAGCUAGUUGGUGAGGUAAUGGCUCACCAAGGCGACGAUCCGUAACUGGUCUGAGAGGAUGAUCAGUCACACCGGAACUGAGACACGGUCCGGACUCCUACGGGAGCAGCAGUGGGGAAUAUUGGACAAGUGGGCGCGAAGCCCUGAUCCAGCAAUGCCGCGUGUGUGAAGAAGGCCUUCGGUGUAAAGCACUUUAAGUAGGGUAAGAAAAACUCGACUCUAAC